CGGUGGAGCAUGUGGUUUAAUUCGACGCAACGCGAAGAACCUUACCUAGGCUGGACAUGCAGGUAGUAGAAGGGUGAAAGCCACGUAUACCCGUCAGGUGUGACGAGCGCAACCCCUGUCUUCAGUUACUAACGGGAUGUCAAGUAGCAUGGCCUUUAUGCCUGGGCUACAUACAUGGCCGGUACAAGGGCUGCAAACCCGUAAGGGGAAGCGUCUCAAAAAACCGGCCUCAGUUCAGAUCGAGGUGCAACUCGACCUCGUGAAGGCGGAAUCGCUAGUAAUCCGGAUCAGCACGCCGGGGUGAAUACGUUCCCGGGCCUUGUACACACCGCCGUCACACCACGAAAGUUUGUUGUACCUGAAGUCGUUGGCGCCAACCGCAAGGGGGCAGACGCCCACGUAUGACCGAUGAUUGGGGUGAAGUCGUACAAGGU
rnacentral:rRNA from 1 species